UUUCCGCCAGCAAAUCGCAGCAAAGAGAUUCUGCGCAUGCACUUCGACGGUAUAUGUUCUUCGUUGUCGCCGAACCGGUCAUCAUCGUAACAGUAUAGUGCCUUGCAAGUGCCUCGUAUUCUAAUUUUAAUAUUAAAUUGAAUGAGUAGUUUGCCUCAUAUCGGAUCAUCUCGGCGGAUGAAAGAAACUGCAGGAAAGUUAACGUAGAACAUCAUUGGAAAAUUAGAAUUUUUGUAUAAUGGUUGAACGGCAACAGUACAUAAAGGUCAUACAAUAUAUAAAGAUAAAUAAUUAAAAAUAUUUGUUUUCAAUAAUAUAGUGUGGGCCAUAUGUCAGAGUUGUCACUAGCAAUCCUUAAUCCUUAGUUUUGACAACUGACUUAAGGCCCACCCUGUAUGACAAGACUAUUUAAAGCAAUUGUAAUAAAAUCGAUGAAGCCAUUUCUAUUCGUUAAUUUUUUUUAUUAAUUUUACAUUGACUUUUAUUAUUCAUAUGAAUCGAGUGUGAAAAAAGAAUUUAAUUUCGUAAUACAGUUUAUUGUAAUGUUAACUAUAACGAUGAAAUGAUAUAAUACUUGUAAAAUUAUCAAACUCGUUUUUCAUACUUUGUAAAUGUUUUAAUUUUUGUAUAUAAUAUAUAUUAUUCUUUACAAUUUACGUUUUUAAAAAUUUGUAUAUUUAAAACUUCAAUGAAAUGUUGAUUGCCAAAAAUAAUACACUCUUGAAUCCUUUUACACGUACUCAGAUCUAUAUCUAUUGCCCUAAAAAUAUGUACAUAUAUACACAUAAAAAAAAAAAAUAUAUAUAUAUAUA